rnacentral:rRNA from 1 species
ACUCCUACGGGAGGCAGCAGUGGGGAAUAUUGCACAAUGGGCGCAAGCCUGAUGCAGCCAUGCCGCGUGUAUGAAGAAGGCCUUGGGUUGUAAAGUACUUUCAGCAGUGAGGAAGGACGGGUACGUUAAUAGCGUGCUCGUUUGACGUUAGCUGCAGAAGAAGCACCGGCUAACUCCGUGCCAGCAGCCGCGGUAAUACGGAGGUGCGAGCGUUAAUCGGAAUUACUGGGCGUAAAGCGCAUGCAGGUGGUUGUUAAGUCAGAUGUGAAAGCCCGGGGCUCAACCUCGGAAUUGCAUUUGAAACUGGCAGACUAGAGUACUGUAGAGGGGGUAGGAAUUUCAGGUGUAGCGGUGAAAAUGCGUAGAGAUCUAGAAGGAAUACCGGUGGCGAAAGGCGGCCCCCUGGACAGAUACUGACACUCAGAUGCG